UACGUAGGGGGCAAGCGUUGUCCGGAAUCAUUGGGCGUAAAGCGCGUGUAGGCGGUCCGGUAAGUCGGCUGUGAAAGUCCAGGGCUCAACCCUGGGAUGCCGGUCGAUACUGCCGGACUAGAGUUCGGAAGAGGCGAGUGGAAUUCCCGGUGUAGCGGUGAAAUGCGCGGAUAUCGGGAGGAACACCAAUGGCGAAGGCAGCUCGCUGGGACGUUACUGACGCUGAGACGCGAAAGCGUGGGGAGCAAACAGG
rnacentral:rRNA from 1 species